rnacentral:rRNA from 1 species
UGAGGAAUAUUGGUCAAUGGACGAGAGUCUGAACCAGCCAAGUAGCGUGAAGGAUGACUGCCCUAUGGGUUGUAAACUUCUUUUAUACGGGAAUAAAGUGAGGCACGUGUGCCUUUUUGUAUGUACCGUAUGAAUAAGGAUCGGCUAACUCCGUGCCAGCAGCCGCGGUAAUACGGAGGAUCCGAGCGUUAUCCGGAUUUAUUGGGUUUAAAGGGAGCGUAGGCGGACGCUUAAGUCAGUUGUGAAAGUUUGCGGCUCAACCGUAAAAUUGCAGUUGAUACUGGGUGUCUUGAGUACAGUAGAGGCAGGCGGAAUUCGUGGUGUAGCGGUGAAAUGCUUAGAUAUCACGAAGAACUCCGAUUGCGAAGGCAGCUUGCUGGACUGUAACUGACGCUGAUGCUCGAAAGUGUGGGUAUCAAACAGGAUUAGAUACCCUGGUAGUCCACACAGUAAACGAUGAAUACUCGCUGUUUGCGAUAUACAGUAAGCGGCCAAGCGAAAGCGUUAAGUAUCCCACCUGGGGAGUACGCCGGCAACGGUGAAACUCAAAGGAAUUGACGGGGGCCCGCACAAGCGGAGGAACAUGUGGUUUAAUUCGAUGAUACGCGAGGAACCUUACCCGGGCUUGAAUUGCAGACGAAUUGCUUGGAAACAGGCAAGCCGCAAGGCGUCUGUGAAGGUGCUGCAUGGUUGUCGUCAGCUCGUGCCGUGAGGUGUCGGCUUAAGUGCCAUAACGAGCGCAACCCUCGUGUCCAGUUACUAGCAGGUUAUGCUGAGGACUCUGGACAGACUGCCAUCGUAAGAUGUGAGGAAGGUGGGGAUGACGUCAAAUCAGCACGGCCCUUACGUCCGGGGCUACACACGUGUUACAAUGGGGGGUACAGCAGGCAGCUACCGGGCGACCGGAUGCCAAUCCCGAAAGCCUCUCUCAGUUCGGACUGGAGUCUGCAACCCGACUCCACGAAGCUGGAUUCGCUAGUAAUCGCGCAUCAGCCACGGCGCGGUGAAUACGUUCCC